ACGGAGGGUGCGAGCGUUGUCCGGAAUCACUGGGCGUAAAGGGCGCGUAGGCGGCCUGAUAAGUAGGGGGUGAAAUCCUGCGGCUUAACCGCAGGGCUGCCUUCUAAACUGUCAGGCUUGAGCACAGUAGAGGCAGGUGGAAUUCCCGGUGUAGCGGUGGAAUGCGUAGAGAUCGGGAGGAACAUCUGUGGCGAAGGCGACUACCUGGACCAGCACUGACACUGAGGCACGAAAGCGUGGGGAGCAAACAGGA
rnacentral:rRNA from 1 species